AACGAACGCUGGCGGCAUGCCUAACACAUGCAAGUCGAACGUGAUCCGGGGCUUGCUCCGGUGAAAGUGGCGGACGGGUGAGUAACGCGUGGGAACCUGCCCAGUGGUCGGGGAUAACUGCGGGAAACUGCAGCUAAUACCCGGUAAGCCCUCGAGCGUUGGCUUGGGGGGAAAGAUUGAUCGCCAUUGGAGGGGCCCGCGUCGGAUUAGGUAGUUGGUGGGGUAACGGCCUACCAAGCCUACGAUCCGUAGCUGGUCUGAGAGGAUGAUCAGCCACACUGGGACUGAGAUACGGCCCAGACUCCUACGGGAGGCAGCAGUGGGGAAUAUUGGACAAUGGGCGCAAGCCUGAUCCAGCAAUGCCGCGUGAGCGAAGAAGGCCUUAGGGUUGUAAAGCUCUUUCGGCGGGGACGAUGAUGACGGUACCCGCAGAAGAACGCCCCGGCUAACUCCGUGCCAGCCGCCGCCGUAAU
rnacentral:rRNA from 1 species